rnacentral:rRNA from 1 species
AUUGAACGCUGGCGGCAGGCCUAACACAUGCAAGUCGAGCGGAUGAAGGGAGCUUGCUCCUGGUUUCAGCGGCGGACGGGUGAGUAAUGCCUAGGAAUCUGCCUGGUUGUGGGGGAUAACGUCCGGAAACGGGCGCUAAUACCGCAUACGUCCUGAGGGAGAAAGUGGGGGAUCUUCGGAACUCACGCUCUCAGAUGAGCCUAGGUCGGAUUAGCUAGUUGGUGGGGUAAAGGCCUGCCAAGGCGACGAUCCGUAACUGGUCUGAGAGGAUGAUCAGUCACACUGGAACUGAGACACGGUCCAGACUCCUACGGUAGGCAGCAGUGGGGAAUAUUGGACAAUGGGCGAAAGCCUGAUCCAGCCAUGCCGCGUGUGUGAAGAAGGUCUUCGGAUUGUAAAGCACGUUAAGUUGGGAGGAAGGGCAGUAAGUUAAUACCUUGCUGUUUUGACGUUACCAACAGAAUAAGCACCGGCUAACUUCGUG